rnacentral:rRNA from 1 species
GUGGGGAAUAUUGGGCAAUGGGGGAAACCCUGACCCAGCAACGCCGCGUGAAGGAAGAAGGCUUUCGGGUUGUAAACUUCUUUUAUGAGGGACGAAGAAGUGACGGUACCUCAUGAAUAAGCCACGGCUAACUACGUGCCAGCAGCCGCGGUAAUACGUAGGUGGCAAGCGUUGUCCGGAUUUACUGGGUGUAAAGGGCGCGUAGGCGGGAUAGCAAGUCAGGUGUGAAAUCCGGGGGCUUAACCCUCGAACUGCACUUGAAACUGUUAUUCUUGAGUGAUGGAGAGGCAAGCGGAAUUCCUAGUGUAGCGGUGAAAUGCGUAGAUAUUAGGAGGAACACCAGUGGCGAAGGCGGCUUGCUGGACAUUAACUGACGCUGAGGCGCGAAAGCGUGGGGAGCAAACAGGAUUAGAAACCCCUGUAGUCC